AUGGCCGACGGCGUGGUCGAACUUCCGACUGAGGCCGCGAACCAGGUUGGUGACGAUGGCCUUGUCGGUCUGCGGGAUGCCACAGUCAGCGAGGGUGUUGGCGAGCAUCUUCAAUCUGGUGCAAUACUCCUGGAUGGAGAGAUGACCCUGGUGCAGCCCGUGGAACUCCUCCAGCGCCUGCACCCCCUGCUGGUUCCGGUUGGAACGAAACAGGGUGUUGAUCGCCGUGUACAGGACGAUGGCGGUAGGGUUGUUGACGCGGAUGGUGUUGGCGAUCUCCUCGGAGACAGGGCCGUAGAGCCAACGGAUGAUGCACCAGUCGACCUGGGCCCAAACGGGGUCGAAGCGACGCUGACGAGCAUCCACGGUGUCGUCGAUGUGAUCCGUGAUGCCGAAGGACUGGACCACGGCGAUGAAGAAUUAGGACCACAGAGUGUAGUUGGCGGUGAGAGCUGCAGAGUAACAGGCAUCGCCGAGUGGACGUUGAGGGAGAGGAUGUAG
rnacentral:rRNA from 1 species